UACGUAGGAUGCAAGCGUUGUUCGGAAUUACUGGGCGUAAAGAGUACGUAGGCGGUUUGAUAAGUCUGAAAUUAAAGACUGAGGCUUAACCUCAGGAAUGUAUCGGAAACUGUCAGACUAGAGGACAAUAGAGGAAGUCGGAAUUCUCAGUGUAGCGGUGAAAUGCGUAGAUAUUGGGAAGAACACCAGUGGCGAAAGCGGACUUCUGGGUUGUUACUGACGCUGAGGAGCGAAAGCGUGGGGAGCGAACAGG
rnacentral:rRNA from 1 species